CGCUGGCGGCAUGCCUAAUACAUGCAAGUCGAGCGAACAGAUGAAGUGCUUGCACUUCUGACGUUAGCGGCGAACGGGUGAGUAACACGUAAGGAAUCUACCUAUAAGCGGGGGAUAACAUUCGGAAACGGGUGCUAAUACCGCAUAAUAUCUUCUUCCGCAUGGAAGAAGAUUGAAAGACGGCUCUGCUGUCACUUAUAGAUGACCUUGCGGUGCAUUAGUUAGUUGGUGGGGUAACGGCCUACCAAGACGAUGAUGCAUAGCCGACCUGAGAGGGUGAUCGGCCACAUUGGGACUGAGACACGGCCCAAACUCCUACGGGAGGCAGCAGUAGGGAAUCUUCCGCAAUGGGCGAAAGCCUGACGGAGCAAUGCCGCGUGAGUGAAGAAGGCCUUCGGGUCGUAAAACUCUGUUAUAAGAGAAGAACAAAUUGUAGAGUAACUGCUACAGUCUUGACGGUAUCUUAUCAGAAAGCCACGGCUAACUACGUG
rnacentral:rRNA from 1 species